GAUGAACGCUGGCGGCGUGCCUAAUACAUGCAAGUCGAGCGAACAGAUAAGGAGCUUGCUCCUUUGACGUUAGCGGCGGACGGGUGAGUAACACGUGGGUAACCUACCUAUAAGACUGGGAUAACUUCGGGAAACCGGAGCUAAUACCGGAUAAAUUUUCGAACCGCAUGGUUCGAUAAUGAAAGAUGGUUUUGCUAUCACUUAUAGGUGGACCCGCGCCGUAUUAGGAUGUUGGUAAGGUAACGGCUUACCAAGGCGACGAUACGUAGCCGACCUGAGAGGGUGAUCGGCCACACUGGAACUGAGACACGGUCCAGACUCCUACGGGAGGCAGCAGGAGGGAAUCUUCCGCAAUGGGCGAAAGCCUGACGGAGCAACGCCGCGUGAGUGAUGAAGGUCUUCGGAUCGUAAAACUCUGUUAUUAGGGAAGAACAUACGUGUAAGUAACUGUGCACGUCUUGACGGUACCUAAUCAGAAAGCCACGGCUAACUACGUG
rnacentral:rRNA from 1 species